ensembl:lncRNA
UUGCUCCUUUGGACAGUGGAGCUGUCAUAUGUAUAGGUCAUAUCACAGAAACAUUAUAGAAUCAUAAAAUGGUUUGGGUUAAAAGGGACCUCAAAGACCAUCCUGUUCCAACCCCCUGCCAUGAGUGGGGUCAUGAACGACUAAAUCAUGCACCAGAUUAGGUUGCCCAGGUCCCCAUCCAACCUGGCCUUGAAUGCCUCUAGGGAUGAGGCAUCCACAUCUUCUCUGGAAAUCCCUAGGUGAGAGAUAAAACUUCCUUGGAAACCAGUCUAAGUGCAAAGAUGAGCCCUUGAGUAAGAAAUUACAUCCACAAAACUCACUUCCAUCUACUCCGAGUCCUUUCUUCAAGCUCACCUUCUUUUGUAUCUUAAUCACGCAGUGUAUGAACUCCCUUUCUCAAAAGAACCCAACCAAUCCAACAAACACCAGUGAAAGGGAAAGAAGCAAAGAACAAACAAUUUUUUCCAGUGAUGGGGACAACAUAAGAAGCAGUAUAAGAAGAGAACUGCAUAAGAAUGAAAAUCUAUGCUUAUGGUCUCAGUGCAAAUAUUACUUCUUAAGGAACAGUGGGCCUUGCGGAGCGCUAAUUACGGAUGAAACCAGUCUAAGCCUUUAAAAGAAAAGAAGGACGUACAGGAGGAAAUCCACAGCAUUUGACUGGACCUGCAGUUCCAAUUCAGGCUUCGUUGCCUUUCAUCUGACGGAUACUCCACGCGACAGCGCGUUUUAAGGCUUUAUCCUUACAGAACUAUCCCAAAAACGCACUUGUGCUGUACAAGGAAGAUUGCAACGUUCUCAAUUCAGCAUUUCCAAGUCGGAACCAAUUGAGGGCAGCUACUUUCACAGGAGGAAGCACGGGAGAAAAAGAAAGCAAGCAAGUAGUGUACCUCCACCAGGGAGCACGGUGGAGGCACAGGGCUUGUAGGAGACCUGUCACGAAGCUUGACUCCUUCUGCUCACACAGGUUUCAGCUCAAGGCUUGUGGAUACCAAUGAGUCCACUUCUAUUUCCCUAGGGGACACCAGCCCAAAUCACCACGAGCCAAAGACAGCACAGAAAUCCUAGUCAGUGAGGCCUGUUUCAAUGGCCAGUGAGGCCUACUCUAGUGAGUCUCAGGCUUGAGACUUGCAUGGCCCUGCUGAGGACCUCAUUUUCCAUGGCUGGCUAUGGUACAUCUGUUGAUGGCAACUUGAACAUGUCCACAGCAGUUAAGCAGUUCCAUUUUCAGGCUCAGACAUUGGUGUUCAAAGACUUUGUUCUUAUUCUAAUGACUGAUAGAGGACCUCUGUUUGGGUUGAUGCUGCAGUCUUUUAAGCACACUUUCCAGAAAGCUGUAGGUCUCUAUUUUGAGAGCAGAGCAGAGAUCCUACUGCUGAACCCAUCAUAUAUAUCCAAGAAGACAACACUUUGGUGGACAUCAACACAUUGCCAGGGCUCCUGCUUCCCAGGCGAGGAGGAUGCUCGUGGCAGCUGACAAAGGCACGGGGAGUGCCGAUGCUGCAAGCCAUGAAUGAGACGAAGGUAUCCCAGAAUACCCCGGACAUCGGGCCGUACUUCCUGCUGGCUGGGAAGGACAAAAGGACAAAGCCAAAGGAGUGCCGGGGUCCCACCACCAGCUCUUGGAGGCACCAGUCUGCUACCAACAGCACUCCAACCCUCGGAGAAUGCUAAUAAGCCACUGAAGAGCUCGGCUUUCCUGCCAUAAUUCUAUAGCGCCGUCGAGGACCCCAUAGUGUUCACUAAAUAAAGACAACUAAUUGAGAAUUUUUUGCACAUUUUGCUCUGUGGACUUGCUGUUCAGGCGGUUCGUUGGGGAGAAUGUCCCCCUACUGACAACAGGGGCCGAUUGUUUUGGCAGCCGCCGGGUUAGCGCGAGUUCCCGGCUCUGGG